UGGGCACCAAGAUGGAUCCAGAAGGGUUAAGCAGAGAUGAUGGGCACCAAGAUGGGUCCAGGAGGUGAUGAUGUGGGUCAGGAUGGGUCCUUCAAGGCCAGGAGCAGAUGAUGGGUCCCAGGAUGGGUCCAGCAGACACCGUGGGUGCUCAGCCAGGUCCUUUGGGUGCCAACACGUGGUGAUGUGGGAUGGUCACCAUGAUGUGCGUAGGGUGAGACCUGCCCACCAGCUCCUCCAGCACCCAAAGGUGGGCACCCGGCCUCAAUGAGCCACCCAAAGGGACCCCAGCACCUAAAGCCCCCCCCCCCCAGCACCACCCUUGGGUGCACCCAGCUCUGGUUGUGCCAAUGGUCUCGUUCCCUAUGGGCUGUGCCCUCCUGGUCCCUCUGGUGCCACCUUCUCCAUGGGCUCAGCUCAGCACCUGGAGGCCCUCCCUGCCCCACGGCUGCCCCACAGCUCUGCUCCCAACCAGCCCCCCAACCCCAACAUCGAUGGGGAUGGACCCCAACCCUGCUCAGAUGCCACCCAGGACCACACAGGAUGGAUGGAAGCGUUGCCCAUGGGAUGCUCCUCACUUGUCCCAUGGGUGCCACCAUCCCUUGGUGACCCCACCAUGGCCAAGAGGUGACCCCAUCAUUGCCAUCCCUUUGGUGACCCCACCAUGGCCAAGAGGUGACCCCAUCAUUGCCAUCCCUUGUUGACCCCCAUAACCAAGAGGUGCCCAGUGCCACGGUCAGGAUGGGGUUCGGUUGAUCCCGUGUCUCACUGCAGAGGGGCCGGUGAAGACGCCCCCCACCCCCCCAGCACCCAUGCUCUGGUGGGGUCCGUGUGGGGCGGUGGGUGCUAUAGGACACCCUCCAUGAAGCUGGUGUCCAGGUGCUGGAUGAGCACCCGGAUGAAGGACAUCUCCUUGCGGGUGUUCUCGAAGAUGAUCCGGGGGUCGUCCGACUGACAGCGCAGGCAGUUGGGGGCCAUCACCAUGGCCAGGUUAUUGACGUCCAUCUUGGUGACCGCCACGUUGCCCGGCUGCACGAACACCUGGGGGGCAGGGGGAAAGGGGUGAGGGGGAUGGGUGGAGCUUGGGUGCUGAUCAAACACAUUGGGUGCUGAUCAAACACAUUGGGUGCUGAUCAACCCAUUGGGUGCUGAUCAACUCAUUGGGUGUUCCUCAGCUCAUUGGGUGCUACUCAAACCCAUUGGGUGCUGCUCAACUCAUUGGGUGCUGCUCAACUCAUUGGGUGCUCCUCAGACCCAUGGAUGCUGCUCAGACCCCCCAGUGCUGCUCAGACCCAUUGGGAGCAACUUGGGGGUGAUGGGGAAGGACCAUGUGUAACGGGUUGGGAUGAAAGGGACAUUGAAGAUGAUCCAGUUCCAUGGGCAAGGGCACCUCUGGACAUGGACAGGUUCGUCUAUGGGGGUUUGGAGCUAGAAAUGCUCUAGAGGAGGUGAUGAAGAUGUUGGGAGGCAGUCAGAAGCCACCCCUGAAGAGGGGACUUGGGGGAUGUCCAGG
rnacentral:lncRNA from 1 species